GAUGAACGCUGGCGGUGUGCCUAAUACAUGCAAGUCGAGCGAACAGACGAGGAGCUUGCUCCUCUGACGUUAGCGGCGGACGGGUGAGUAACACGUGGAUAACCUACCUAUAAGACUGGGAUAACUUCGGGAAACCGGAGCUAAUACCGGAUAACAUGUUGAACCGCAUGGUUCAACAGUGAAAGACGGUCUUGCUGUCACUUAUAGAUGGAUCCGCGCCGCAUUAGCUAGUUGGUAAGGUAACGGCUUACCAAGGCAACGAUGCGUAGCCGACCUGAGAGGGUGAUCGGCCACACUGGAACUGAGACACGGUCCAGACUCCUACGGGAGGCAGCAGUAGGGAAUCUUCCGCAAAGGGCGAAAGCCUGACGGAGCAACGCCGCGUGAGUGAAGAAGGUCUUCGGAUCGUAAAACUCUGUUAUUAGGGAAGAACAAAUGUGUAAGUAACUAUGCACGUCUUGACGGUACCUAAUCAGAAAGCCACGGCUAACUACGUG
rnacentral:rRNA from 1 species